GGUGCGGUAGUUCAGUCGGUUAGAAUACCGGCCUGUCACGCCGGGGGGCGCGGGUUCGAGUCCUGUCCGCACCGCCA
rnacentral:tRNA from 1 species